AACGAACGCUGGCGGCGUGCCUAACACAUGCAAGUCGAACGAGAAAGGGGCUUCGGCUUCGAGUAAAGUGGCGCACGGGUGAGUAACACGUGGGUAACCUGCCUCUAAGAUUGGGAUAACUCGUCGAAAGAUGAGCUAAUACCGGAUAAGACCACAGUUCCCGCGGGAACAGGGGUCAAAGGUAGCCUCUGCUUGCAAGCUAUCACUUAGAGAUGGGCCUGCGCACCAUUAGCUAGUUGGUAGGGUAACGGCCUACCAAGGCAAAGAUGGUUAGCUGGUCUGAGAGGAUGAUCAGCCACACUGGAACUGAGACACGGUCCAGACUCCUACGGGAGGCAGCAGUGGGGAAUAUUGCGCAAUGGGCGAAAGCUUGACGCAGCAACGCCGCGUGAGUGAUGAAGGCCUUCGGGUCGUAAAGCUCUGUCGGGAGGAACGAAUGCUCCCGAGGUUAACAGCCUCGGGAGGUGACGGUACCUUCAAAGGAAGCACCGGCUAACUCUGUGCCAGCCGCCGCCGUAAAAC
rnacentral:rRNA from 1 species